rnacentral:rRNA from 1 species
GACGAACGCUGGCGGCGUGCCUAAUACAUGCAAGUCGAACGAGAGCGACCGGUGCUUGCACUGGUCAAUCUAGUGGCGAACGGGUGAGUAACACGUGGGUAACCUGCCCAUCAGAGGGGGAUAACAUCCGGAAACGGAUGCUAAAACCGCAUAGGUCUUCGAACCGCAUGGUUUGAAGAGGAAAAGAGGCGCAAGCUUCUGCUGAUGGAUGGACCCGCGGUGCAUUAGCUAGUUGGUGAGGUAACGGCUCACCAAGGCCGUGAUGCAUAGCCGACCUGAGAGGGUGAUCGGCCACAUUGGGACUGAGACACGGCCCAAACUCCUACGGGAGGCAGCAGUAGGGAAUCUUCCGCAAUGGACGCAAGUCUGACGGAGCAACGCCGCGUGAGUGAAGAAGGUUUUCGGAUCGUAAAACUCUGUUGUUAGAGAAGAACAAGUGCUAGAGUAACUGUUAGCGCCUUGACGGUAACUAACCAGAAAGCCACGGCUAACUACGUG